rnacentral:lncRNA from 7 species
GAACGCCCACCCCUAAUUGUAGGGUAGAUUACUAGAUUGUGGGACAACCUGAAGCUGUGGGAGCGCCGGACGCGCCGUGGUGGGAACGUGGGAUGUGAAGCGGCGCCGCGGCGGCAUCGGCGCGUUCCCAGCCAUCUCCUGACUGGUGGCGAUGACCGUAGGUUGUACACGGCAGGCACACGAACCUUCCUCGCUCGGACCAAAUCAGGGUUGCACCUUUGCCGACCGACCACGACUCGCAUGCUUUCGUCGUCGACGUGCACGCCACGACCAAAAAAAAAAGCCGCAGUGCUAGCCUUUUCCUGUAGGAAACACCCACGGUAUCCUCCUGCAAACUGUGGUGGAACGAAGAAAACCACUGUUGGAAUUGGAAUGCUAGCUUCGCCUGUCACGGAUUUAUCGAUAUAAAUAUUAUUUUACCGUCCUCAUUUAAAGCUCCUCCAUGCAAUAAGAAAACAAAACAAAAUACCUUGCAGGAAACAAAUAAACAGACUAAUACUCUACCAGUCUCCAUUCAGCAAACAAAUGAAAACGUGCUUGACCGAGUCUUUCUACCAACUAACUAAUUGCACAUUUUCAGCCUUUCGCUGCGGCUUGCUUCUGCGAUU